rnacentral:lncRNA from 1 species
UUUUUUUUUUUUUUCUUUAUUGCUUUGCAACUGCAGAGGGCUAAAAAAAGAGUUGUUUUAUAUAAAAAAAUUCUAACCUCUUUAUAAGGACUGAGAUUUUAACAGUGUAGCUAAACUCUCUGUUAACGAUAUUUUUGUGUGUAAUUUAAUUACAAAAGAACUCGUCAAGUUUCGAAAGAAAACGAGUUAGAAUAGAUAUUUUACGCGAUCUUUAGUUUUCACUUAAAGUGAAUAGUAAUCCGGAUUUUCUGAGAGGCUAAGAUGUAGAGAUGGCUUCUGGCGCGUAUCGGACUCCGUUCAUAGUGAUCCAAUUGCUCAUUUUCAAUGGUCUGACUAUUCUGGAACCAUUGGCGCUGACGGAUUUUAGGUUUGAAGCACGAAUUUCGAGAAAACUGGAGAUACAUAUAUUAUAUGUAUUUGUGUGCGGAUUUUGCCAUUUGGAGAGGGGAUGGGUUUCGUCGCGAAUCUGCG